rnacentral:sRNA from 1 species
GGGCUGACGAUGAGCCAAAACCCGUGAUUCAGUUACCCGAUUUUAUGAAAGAUUUUACUGCAGGUAUUGAAUUUGAUCCAGAAAUUCAAGCUU